rnacentral:rRNA from 1 species
UACGUAGGGGGCAAGCGUUGUCCGGAAUUACUGGGCGUAAAGCGCGUGUAGGCGGGACGACAAGUCCGGCGUGAAAGGCUUGGGCUCAACCCGAGAUGGCCGUUGGAAACUGUCGUUCUUGAGGGUCGAAGAGGAGAGUGGAAGUUCCUGGUGUGAGCGGUGAAAUGCGCAGAUAUCAGGAGGAACACCGGUGGCGAAGGCGG